rnacentral:lncRNA from 1 species
UAAAGACAACCCUAUCUGUUACAUAGGGAUGAUAACUCAACAAUAGAACAGGACAAGUAAAUAACACUACACCUGCACCGGAAUCGGAAGAUACGAAGACAAAGGUUGAAGAAGCCAUCUACAGUCUUGAAGGAAUAAGUUCACUGGAAGAAGUUCAUUAAUAUGUUCAUGCCUCAGUGAAGAAUAAAGAUUGAAGUAUUCAAGAUUGUGGAAGCAAUGAAGAUGUUGUCCAAGUACUCGAAAGAUUUCAGUGCAACUCCUGAAGCAAGAUAUUUUUAUAUAUCUUGGUUGGUUAUUUACAAUCAACAAACUGAAGCAUAAACCAACCCGGAA